rnacentral:piRNA from 1 species
UGAAAUGGAAAAGGACAAAACAAAUGUAGA